UAAUGUUCUUCGACAUUUGAAAUAAGCUGGACUCCACCUUUCUCCAUUGUUUCCAGUUCCCUGAAGGGCCUUGCAAGAAAAGAGGGGCUCACACUGUAGCAGGAGGGUGGAUGUUCAGAAGCUCAAGGAGGCUGUGGGUCCUGGAAGGUCUCUGAAGCUGGCUCCAGGGUCUCCUCACUAGUGAGUCAUGUAUCCCUGCAACUUGAAGACAGCCUGCCCUCUCAAAGACUCUGAUGGAGAAGUUAAGUGACCUCAGGGACUCCAUAUGCCAAAGUGAGAAGGAGAGACAAAGGGAACGUUGCUAAGAAUACAGUAGGAAAUGUCCCAGGAGGCAUUUGGGGUUUCUUGACCAGAAUAAGGUUAAGGUCAUGAGAGAGUAGAAUCUUUGGGUUGAAAGCAAUAGUAUAUGGGGGCAGGGGGAGCAGGGACAGGGCACCCUAGAAGACAAGUUCUGAAUCCAGGGUAUCAGGAGCACUUGGGAGCUUUUGUAAAACACAAACUCCUGCCCCCAUCCCCACUUCCACAGAAAGAUAGGUUAGACUCUCCAGAGGCAGGGAAAUGCUGCAGGGUUCCAAAGGUGGGGGUGAAGAGAGGGGGCAACGGGGGAAAAAGACUAGGCCUGGGCCUUAGUCAACAGAGAGAAGGAGUCUGGGUGAAGCUCUUUAAGAGCAUAUGUAACUGAUAAAUCCUAUGUCGGGCUGGUCCUAGAGUUUUAAGUCCUCUCCUAUUCUAAAGGUCAGGAAAUUCUGGUCCUAAUGUCAGUGCUGUCAUCUAGUGGCUCUGUGAUCUUAAGCAAAUCACUUCACCUUUCUGAGUCUCAGUUGCUUCUGUUGUAAAAUUAAGGAAUGGUUGCUAAGGUCUCUUUCCAGCUCUGAAAGUGUAAGUCUAUGGUGCUAAAGAUUGUUAUGGCUUCUCCAUCAUGAGCUGGUGUAUCACAUUCAGAAGACCAGAGCCUAGGUGCUCUUCCUUUCUUUGUGGACUGUUGGGAUUCAGCUGACCUGGGACCAGCGAGUCUGUCUGCCAGCUUCCAGGCCAGAGCCAUGCCUAAUUACUUGAUAGAGCUUUCCCCAAAGUGGAGCACUGCUUCUGUGUGAAUAGAAUUAAUUAAAUUAGAAAAUAUAAAAUGAGGGUUCCAUGGCCCAAUGAAUUUGAGUAUCUGGGUUAAACACAUUUAACAUUUUCUUUUUUCUCAGGACUUUUCAGAGCAUCAACGAACCAAUAUGCAUUUUGAAUCUCUUAAAGGGGGAAUAAACAGAAUUUCCCAAACAAAUUUGAUCGUGGGAUCCACUUUUCUAAGGAGCAACCCUUAAAAACAGCAACAACUCCAAGUUAGAUGGUCCUUACUCCCUUUUUCCCCAAAUUCUUGACCUUCAAGAUGGGAAGGAGUGUUUCCACUCUUCCUCCUCUGGAAUCCCAAAGGCAGUCAGUCUUUUGUCACAGUCUCCCUAGCGCAGCCUUGCAGGCAGUGCCAAUGAUUUUUGCUAAUUGCUAUUGAAUUCCCAUUGAAUUGACACCCCUCACAGUUCCCCAUGUCAGUCCCCCAUGCCUCCCUGCAGCAGAUGCUCACAGAUUGCCCCCUUUACCUCAAUAUCUGAGAGGUAGAGACAGACAAGUCAACAUGGGCUCCUCUGAGCCCAGAGCUUCCUCUUGGUGGCUUGGUCUGAGGAUCACUGUGGCUGGAUUGACAGGUAGUAGCUGUUGAUUCUCUGGUUUGGGGUUAAUUUUCUAUAAGAGACAGGAAGAAAGCUGCCGGAGUCCCUCACCUUAGGAAUAUAUACGUCCUGGGAUGGAAAGGCAUGGGGAGCGGAGCGACAGACGGAGAGAGGCUUGAGGACACAAAGGAGGAAGCGUGCCAUUGCCAAGACCCCAAGGAAGAAGGACAGAGAGCGCUGGCAGUCCUGUCUGGCCCCCAGCCAGUUUCCUGCUGAAGAUGGCCAAAUCCUCUUGCCUGGUCUGUGCUGCUCAUCUGGGUCCUGUAGCGCCGCUGCCCCAUUCCAUCUGGAACCCCGACCCCACUUCCUGUUCCUCCACUGCUUCCCCCAGCCCCAGGAGACUCUGGUUCGGCCAGACUGGAAGCAGACGAAUCGCUGAGAUCCCCUGCAGAUGGACUGCAAGCCUCGCUCUCUGGCUUUCCCUUCCUAUGGAAGCUAACAUGCUCCGGGGGUUACUUUCUUCAGAGAUUUCUCACCACCUGAUAUUUCCUGGUUUACUUACUUCUCCCUUCUAGACGAUGAGGCAGCCAAGAAACAGGUUGAGUGAGCUGCUAACUGUCACACAACUCCAAGGAGGGGAAACCAGAGGACUGGCGGGGCACAGAGACCUGGGCCCUCCAUCUACCUGGAUCGUCCCUCGGACCCAGGAAAGGCCAAAUCAGCCUCCAGAGGUCUAGCAGUCAGAAUUCCGGGGCUCCCUCCAGCUACUAGAAACGCCAGGCCUCCCACGCUGUUCCCAGCCUUUUUACCUUGAUUACCACACCUUCCUCCCCCUCCGCAACCCCCCCCCCACCCUACUUCCCGUCCCCACCAAACUCACCAGUUCCCCAUGCUUCACCAUCCCAUACUUUUCCCAAUGUCCCAAGUGGUUUGCAUCCACUCCAGGUCUUAAUUAUCAGCCAAUCUCUAAUGAUUAAACCUUUAGCGUUCAAGCCCAUGCUUCCAGAAGGGAUGUGGUCUCUCCUCCCUUCCUUGGGCCACCUCUAACGCUCACCUUCAGAAUCUUUGAUUAGGAAUGGGUCUUCAGCCUGGCCCCACCCAGCCUGCAGGCCCCCUUUCCCACUUCCCCCCCUCCUCCUAGGGGGCUAGCCAGGCGUGAAGUCAGAGCCAUUAAGUAGCUCCGCGUGGGGCUGGAUCAGCAUGCUAAUGAAAAUGCAAAUCAGCACCUGGGCAAGGGGUGGAGGGCUGGGGGGUGGGGGGAGGUAGCUGGAGAACCGGGAGGAAAGUAAAGGUAUUAGAUGGAGGGGUUAUCCUAGAUAACCAGAAAGCAGAAGCCCGAAACUGGGAGAAAGGUGUCUCUCCUACGGAAUCCUUGGGGGUAGGGGGUAAAAGCGCUGGAUCACGAGGGUCUGACAGUCCACUGUUACCCCUCACAGUGGGGGCCCACCACCCUUUUGCUGCCCCACCUGGUGGGAAGAAGUGAGGCUGGGCAAGCCGGGCUUCUCCCGGGUCCUGCCACCGAGGCCUAACCCGGGUGGUGCUUCAUCCCCGCUGGGCCACCGCGCCUACAUCACAUCGAUCAGCUGCUUCCUCCUGGCUCCUGAUUCACAACUCCAGAUCUAACUUCAGAGGAGGUGCUAGAACGACCUAAGCCCCAAAUCCUCUCUCUAAAGCUUCUACUUCCCAGGACUGGAAAAAGACCCAGCUGAUUCUUAGUUAGAAACCAAAGGAGUUUAGCUCUGGGCUAGCUCGUGGGUGAGACCCAGACCGCCAAGGGUAGGUCGGCAGCUGUUUAAAAUUGCAAAUCUCUUCCCCACCUCCCUCCUCCUCCACUACAGGAAAGAAUUUCAAUUGCAAAUUUAUCUCUGCCUCAGUGCACCCCCCCAGCUCCCCCCCUUUUCUUCUCCACGCUUCUCCCAUCACCCUCUAUUUAUUACAAACCUUUAACUGCAGCAAUGAUUUUUUUUUCACCUUUUCUUUCCUCCUUCCAUUUCCCUCCUCCUCAAUCUUUUCCUCCUUCCCUCUCUGAAUCUCUGUGUCCCUCUCUUUGCCCUUCCUACCUUGAACUCAGUUUUCAGCUCUUUCUGGAGAUGAUGCAGAGCCGGAUGACAGACCAAGUCACCCUCCACCUACCACCUCCAGGCCAAGAGUCCUGUUCACCCUCAGACCACUGCCAUUCCUCCUGUAGUUCCGGGCUUUCCUUAAGGGCGUCUCUUCUCCCUUGGGGCACAUUUCAGAGAGCCAGGUCCAUGGUUAUUGCUCAGGAUGAGAAGGGAAGGCUGGAAGUGCUACUUUCAAAGCUCAUCUAGGGAGGAGUUGCCCCCCAAACAUAAUCACUGAACUGCAAACAUUAUUCCAUGGGAGGUGUGCAGAAAUGCACCCAGUAAAUAGCUGGACAAGAAUUCCUCCUUCUUGAUAAAUGCUCCCUAUUCGGGGGGCAGAUCCACCGUGUUUAAAACAGGAAGAAGCCGGGGAGCUGGGAGGCUCCAAGACGGACAGUAGACCCAGAAAGCUACCGAGAGAGAGAAAGAUGUUAAGAGAUGGACUGAAAGGCUUGGAUAUGAAGUUACGGACGUCUGAAAAGGUGGGCUCUGAGACCGCACAAGGCAGGGAGAACACAGUGAGGCACAAGAGCCAAAGGAGCAAGGGCAAAGGAAGGACCGAAGAAACGCGGCCCGAGGACAGAGAGACUCUAUCCCUCCCCGAGGAGGAACUUGGGCACGGGUGCAGCAAAUGGAGGCAAAGCCAGCGACGUGAGCUCCCGUCUGGAGCCCGGCAACACCAGGGCUACCCUUGGAUGGCGCCCCCUUCCGCCCCAAGCAGGCCACCGAGAGGAGAAGAAACACUACUGCUCCCUAGUGGUUAUGGAAGGAACAUCACCAAGGAGAAAACAUGCCAGGCCGGGUGAACAGAUUGCCUUUCUCGUCCCCGCUCCCCUCCUUAAACCAGAAUCCCACUUAAAGCAAAAUCCCACUCCCUUCUUUUCUCCAGACGCAAGGACAUGGCAAAGACUUUCCCAGAAAGUCUACCAGAUGCCACCAGCACAUUUGCUUAACAUUUGCAUACAAUGAUUUCCACAUCAGAGCCUUCCAAACAGUUUUGCCUUUCACUUUUCCAACUGUUGGAUCUAUCCCCUCUCCCUUACUGAAGAGUCCAUUUUUAGGACCUUUCCUCUUCUUCCUUUCUCUGAAAUUCUUGCCUAGGGCACUGCCCUCUUCCACACUCAUUUUGCCUCUUGCCCCUUUUUGUCUCAACCUGUUGCUUUUAAGAGGCAGAAGCCUUGGAGAAGAGGGGAAAAGAAAAAGGAAAUAUAGAGUGCCCUGCCUAACAGGGAUUGUUUGGUAUAGACAAUAAACUCUAACUUGAUGAGCUUGA